UCAAAAUCCAAUCAUCAUCUCUUUUUCUUUGUCAUCAAUAAUUACCUUUUUGAUAGAAUAUCUCACUCUGACGUCAUCACAACCAAAACAAUCUCUUUAUCUAUAAUCAACCCAAAUAAAAAAACAAACCAACUCUCAAACAAAAAUAUUCAGUUUUUCCCAUUUUAUGAAAAUGACAAAUUUUACAUCCAGCAAACAUGAACAAGAAAGAGACACUUGUUUUUAAAAUGUUCUAACAAACUCACGAAACAACAAAAGUCAUUGCCUACUUACCAAAAUCACAAAAGUCAUUGGUUGAGGAAAAGUAAAUGAACUUAUUGUAGAAUUUGAUCACAGAAACUGUGUUACGUAGUUUGGUAAUUCAAAAUUCUACCCCUUCAAACAAGGCAACAAAAUAAAAAUUUCAACAAAAGCAAAAGAAAUUCGUUUUUCUCAACCAAAUAAAGUUUUACUGCCAAACAAUAUAAUAUCUUGCUCAUCAUCAUAAUUUUUCAACAAGUGAUGGCCUUAUACAUCUAACCUCUAUCAAUGAAGAAAAUUCAAAAAGGUGAAAUUACUUUGAAUUUGAUUUGUCAUGAACAACUUGGAUAUUGAAAAGUCAAGCCACUUCUCUCUUCCUAUAUAUCAUCCUUUUGGCGACUUUUGAUGGCCUUGUUCCACGCGUUUAUGUUCCUCCAAGCGACCCUAAUUCUCCUGGUUCAUCAGUAGCAAAAGUUCCAUAGACAAUCCAAAUGAUGCCAUAAUAGUCAUUCGAAUUGAUCACACAACUCCGAAUAAAAGGCUCUCAAAUGGUACUAUGAUUCUUAUCACUUUCUAAAAAGUACAUCACAUUACAAGUAAUUAGUUUUUGGAUGUAUGUCACAAAACUCGUGUUUUAUUAGUAACUAAACAACAUGUUACAGUCCGACUUCCUUGUUUUAAUGCCCAUUUCCUAUUUUAUUAUUUGCCAAGUGGUUAAUUAGUUGAGCACUUUUUUAUCAUUCUAAUUAGUUUUAAAAUCUUCGGUUAUCUGAAUGUGUUUUAGUUAGCUGUAUCUUCUUAAUUCAUGUUAAACAUGUAUGCAAACAUAUCUGUAAUGAAUAAAAGAGGGAUGAGGUUAUAAAGCUUUUUCAA